AGCGAACGCUGGCGGCAGGCCUAACAUAUGCAAGUCGAACGGACUCUUCGGAGUUAGUGGCGGACGGGUGAGUAACACGUGGGAACGUGCCUUUUGGUUCGGAAUAACUCAGGGAAACUUGUGCUAAUACCGAAUGUGCCCUUCGGGGGAAAGAUUUAUCGCCAUUAGAGCGGCCCGCGUCUGAUUAGCUAGUUGGUGAGGUAACGGCUCACCAAGGCGACGAUCAGUAGCCGGUCUGAGAGGAUGACCAGCCACACUGGGACUGAGACACGGCCCAGACUCCUACGGGAGGCAGCAGUGGGGAAUCUUGCGCAAUGGGCGAAAGCCUGACGCAGCCAUGCCGCGUGAAUGAUGAAGGUCUUAGGAUUGUAAAAUUCUUUCACCGGGGACGAUAAUGACGGUACCCGGAGAAGAAGCCCCGGCUAACUUCGUG
rnacentral:rRNA from 1 species